GAUGAACGCUGGCGGCGUGCCUAAUACAUGCAAGUCGAGCGAACAGACGAUGAGCUUGCUCCUCUGACGUUAGCGGCGGACGGGUGAGUAACACGUGGAUAACCUACCUAUAAGACUGGGAUAACUUCGGGAAACCGGAGCUAAUACCGGAUAAUAUAUUGAACCGCAUGGUUCAAUAGUGAAAGACGGUUUUGCUGUCACUUAUAGAUGUAUCCGCGCCGCAUUAGCUAGUUGGUAAGGUAACGGCUUACCAAGGCAACGAUGCGUAGCCGACCUGAGAGGGUGAUCGGCCACACUGGAACUGAGACACGGUCCAGACUCCUACGGGAGGCAGCAGUAGGGAAUCUUCCGCAAUGGGCGAAAGCCUGACGGAGCAACGCCGCGUGAGUGAUGAAGGUCUUCGGAUCGUAAAACUCUGUUAUUAGGGAAGAACAAAUGUGUAAGUAACUAUGCACGUCUUGACGGUACCUAAUCAGAAAGCAACGGCUAACUACGUG
rnacentral:rRNA from 1 species